UACGUAGGUGACCAGCGUUGUCCGGAUUUACUGGGCGUAAAGAGCGCGCAGGCGGUCGUUCAAGUCGAGUGUGAAAGCCCCCGGCUCAACUGGGGAGGGUCAUUCGAUACUGAUCGACUCGAAGGCAGGAGAGAGAAGCGGAAUUCCCGGUGUAGUGGUGAAAUGCGUAGAUAUCAGGAGGAACACCUGUGGUGUAGACAGCUUUCUGGACCAUAGCUGACGCUGAGACACGAAAGCGUGGGUAGCAAACAGG
rnacentral:rRNA from 1 species